rnacentral:rRNA from 1 species
AGAACGAACGCUGGCGGCAUGCCUAAUACAUGCAAGUCGAACGAACUCUUCGGAGUUAGUGGCGCACGGGUGCGUAACGCGUGGGAAUCUGCCCCUUGGUUCGGAAUAACAGUUGGAAACGACUGCUAAUACCGGAUGAUGACGAAAGUCCAAAGAUUUAUCGCCAAGGGAUGAGCCCGCGUAGGAUUAGCUAGUUGGUGAGGUAAAGGCUCACCAAGGCAACGAUCCUUAGCUGGUCUGAGAGGAUGAUCAGCCACACUGGGACUGAGACACGGCCCAGACUCCUACGGGAGGCAGCAGUA